UGACCGUAACAUUACCCUUAUUUUUGAGGAGCUGUUGAAGAUCUUGUUUGAGAGAUUUAUUAAUUCUUUUGGCAAAUCUUUUAUCCAAUAUUGUGUUGACCCUUUCACCUCACUUAGUAUUAGGCCACAGUAAGUAGCUAUUGUGGAUGACAUCAGCGCGAAUACAAUGUUUUGAAUGGAAUGAAUGAGAGCCGAUCUAAGUGACAAAAAUUUUACUCAUUGCGGCGCCCCUUUGUAAUCAGUCCAUCUGCAUAAUUCAUCUCAGUUCGGGUAACGAUGUUAGCCAGACCAUGGCCACAUGGGGUCGGCGUCAUUGUCUUGGUGAUGUCGGAAUUUCUUAGUAAUCGGUGACAUCCCUAAUUGAUCUGAGCCGAAAUGCCGCCGUGCUAAUCAAUGCCAAAAACAUCCCUUUGUUUAUUACCGACAGAACUCCGUAUGUGGCCCGGCCGCUGGCACGGCAAGGUGCCACGGUACCGCUAAAGCGGUCAUUACAGCAGCGCAUCUCGUGGCGUAUGCAUCGCAGACUUUUCGCUCUAAAUUUUCUCGAGUUUUCGCUUAAGUCUUUCCUCUAACCUUGUCGGACGAUUUGAACACGCUUGUCCCUAGUUUCAUCUUGCUGGCCAAGCCACCACGUAUACGCCCCGUCGGCGGAAACCGCUUCCCGUUCAGCGGAGCCAGCGCGCCAAGACCCCGUAAACGUCGGCCCGUCCCUGGAGCCAGUCAGCUAGGUCUCCGUCGGUUCAUUCCUCGGUACCGGUCAAUCACGUCCCCGUUCCGGUGUCUCCCUACAGAGCCCUUGCGAGGCCCUUAACAUAGGACACAACUUUCGCGGUCUCAAGCCGGAUUUCCUCCGAACUUGUUCGUACGUACCCGGCGGCAUUGCUUGGACAGUGCUUUGACAACGUACUCCCAGACUGUUGACUUCCUGACCCUUCUUGACCCGUCUUCAGCUUAGAGAGGCGAACAUCCGGUCAACACCGAUCAACUAGCCGAACCUUUCUUCGGUGACCGAACUCAACUCCACGCACCGGACAGAAAUGUUCCAGUCAACAUGACGACGACCUUGGACUGUUUCAAAAGAAACAUGGACUGGUUCGACUGACAUGGACUUGCAAAAUGGAGACAAAUGGCCGCAUGCUGAGGAUUCGAGUAACUAAUCGCCUAUGAGAUUAUGUAUGAAUUUCUCCUCAGACUAACCAUACAGGACAAGAGCGACAACGACGAGAUGUUCCUGACACCCAUACCUGUGUCCAUCAGGACGAAACAGUUCCAUCACAAAGUCAGUCGGGUCCUUCCACUGCAAGUCACUGAGACGAGCUGUAUCGCUGGAGGAGCCGGAAUAGACGUCUGUGCACCUUAUAAAGUCGGGAAGGAGCUACACAUCACCCAGAACCGCACCGUCCACAGAAGGAAGACAACGAGAGGGCCUAAGAAAUGCCAGAACAGUAGCAGAUCUGGAGCAGCAAAUCGAUUGCACUGCCACAACCACAGAAAACCUAAAACUAGUUAGACAAUUCACGGGCUGGUUUUGGCUGAUUUAUACCAUGAAUAUGUAUAUAUAAUGUGUAUAUAUUAUAAUAGUGGAUUUUAUAUGUACAACAAAGAACCGUACAUAAUUUUCCCACAGCGACGACGGACCUAAUCAAACCGGAGGUGUAUGUACUAAUGAAGAAAACCAACAUAAGAAUAUGCAGAAGUGGCCAUCGAUCGCUGGGAGGAGCUAGAAGAUACAUUUGUGCGGCUUGAAAAUUCUGAACAGAGGGGAGCCACACAACAUCCAGAACAGCGCCAUCUACAGAAGGAAGGCAACAUGAGGGAAGUAGAGGCCAGUAGCAGAGCCAAGACGUACAGCCGAUAGAUUGCGAUCAUACUUGUACAUGUAUAGAUAACCUGACAUGACACCAGUUAUAGAAUUCACGGAUUGACUGAUUGAUUGACUGUUUAUAUCACGAAUAUGUAUUUUAGUGUAUACAUUGUAGUAGUUGAUUUUAUAUGUAUAUGAAUGGACCGUAGAUGAAAUAACCGUUGUUUUGUGGUGUGACAAGACCUGUCUGUUUGAUACGCCAAAAUGUGCCCACCAGAUAUAAUGUAUUUGUAUGACAGAGAGUCAGAGAGUAUAGUUCAGAAGAAAAAGAGAGAUCCGCAGCUAAGAACGAAGUUAGCGAGGCCAGCAUUACUAGUAUAUAGUAACGUCAAACCAUCUUAACAGUCUCCCGUGCCCAGUGUACGGAAAACCUUG